CUUCCUACAGCGUCUGCCAAGAUGUUUUAUAGCGAACUGAAUACUUUCUUGGUAAAAAAGAUGAAUCGUUGUAUCAUUAGAUCAUCGCAAUGUGUACAAUGCAUGCAUGAGAGAAUGUUACGCUAUUUCCUCCACUUAAUCGCCCGUUCAAAUCUUUGAAAACAAAUCUAACAUCCUCCCACGAUACCCAAGACUAACACAAUCGCCAUGUCUUUAAACUCGUAUAUUUCCAAGUAUCCCAAUGGAUAAAUUUCCAUGGAUAUUCACUUGAAUACAUUUCAAAAAUUUUCCUUUUGCUUCAUCGAGGCAUUGAAAAUCACGUUUGCGUAUAGCAAGCGUAAAGACUUGACCUGCUACCACCUGUUCAUCUCGUUCAAAUUGUUCACUCAGGAUUUGAACAUAUGACAGGUACUUUGACAAUAUUUCACAUAGUAAUACUUCAGGAAUCUACGAUAUCUGACAUAACUAAUACUUUAGGAAUUUAUGACUUUUAUAUCCAGGUUUAUUACCUCACUUUUACUGACUUAUAUAUCAGUGUCUGUGAGUCACAACAAGAGGCGUUUUUGACAACGCGGACUUCACCCGAAAAUUGGUCUAACUAAUGGACCAUUUGCGUUAUAGACUAAAUUUUGAUCUAGACAAAAAUUUCAUCACAGCUUGAAAGAGCAUCACAAAAUUAGUAAUAUUACAAAGUUUCGUUGCGAAUUGUUGUAAAAUGCGGAUAA